rnacentral:rRNA from 2 species
UUAGAGUGAGCGGCAAACGGGUGAGUAACGCGUGGGAAUCUACCCAUCUCUACGGAAUAACACAGAGAAAUUUGUGCUAAUACCGUAUACGUCCUUAGGGAGAAAGAUUUAUCGGAGAUGGAUGAGCCCGCGUUGGAUUAGCUAGUUGGUGAGGUAACGGCUCACCAAGGCGACGAUCCAUAGCUGGUCUGAGAGGAUGAUCAGCCACACUGGGACUGAGACACGGCCCAGACUCCUACGGGAGGCAGCAGUGGGGAAUAUUGGACAAUGGGGGCAACCCUGAUCCAGCCAUGCCGCGUGAGUGAUGAAGGCCCUAGGGUUGUAAAGCUCUUUCACCGGUGAAGAUAAUGACGGUAA